rnacentral:rRNA from 2 species
GGGUUGUGAGGUUAAGCGACUAAGCGUACACGGUGGAUGCCCUGGCAGUCAGAGGCGAUGAAGGGCGUGCUAAUCUGCGAUAAGCGCCGGUAAGGUGAUAUGAACCGUUAUAACCGGCGAUACCCGAAUGGGGAAACCCAGUGUGAUUCGUCACACUAUCAUUAACUGAAUCCAUAGGUUAAUGAGGCGAACCGGGGGAACUGAAACAUCUAAGUACCCCGAGGAAAAGAAAUCAACCGAGAUUCCCCCAGUAGCGGCGAGCGAACGGGGAGGAGCCCAGAGCCUGAAUCAGCAUGUGUGUUAGUGGAAGCGUCUGGAAAGGCGCGCGAUACAGGGUGACAGCCCCGUACACAAAAGCGCAUGUGCUGUGAGCUCGAUGAGUAGGGCGGGACACGUGGUAUCCUGUCUGAAUAUGGGGGGACCAUCCUCCAAGGCUAAAUACUCCUGACUGACCGAUAGUGAACCAGUACCGUGAGGGAAAGGCGAAAAGAACCCCGGCGAGGGGAGUGAAAAAGAACCUGAAACCGUGUACGUACAAGCAGUGGGAGCACCCUUCGGGGUGUGACUGCGUACCUUUUGUAUAAUGGGUCAGCGACUUAU